rnacentral:lncRNA from 1 species
GAAUCCGUACCUCGAAAAUAGCUAAUCGAACACUCACGAGAUUCCGCAAAUAAUUCGCUAAACUCCCGACUCCGAACCUAAAUAUAAAAUUAUAAUCUAUUAUUAACGAUUUCUAAUAAUCGACUGAGAUAUUUACAGACUCGAUAAUAUACCAACAUAAUCUCAAAUCCAGUGAUUAAUAGCGUACACAUUAAAUCAAUACUCUAGUCAGAACAGGCUGAUAUUUGUUGCGGAAGCAUAUCGUAACUCAUUUCCUUUCAUAAUUACUAAGGAGUAAAAACUAUACUCUUGUGAGCCAAUAUCCCCUGUACCCAAUUCACCGUGCAUGAUUGGUAGCCAAUUAAUAAACUAAUACAGCAUGAGUGCAUGACGACAUAACAAGGCAAAACAUUAUUCAAUAUCAAAUGGCAUGAUACCUUUCUGCCUAUAAUUUCCGAGACAAAGCUCUCCCCUGGUACGUAUUCUCCGUUCUCUCCUUCUCCUUCACUCUGUUUUUCACCCUUUUUCCUUUACUCUGCGGCUACUUCUAGGGUUAUUAAUAACUGAUAUGUUUUUAUAUAUAGGCCUCCAAGUAUCCUAUAACUAAUAUAACUCUAAUUAUUAAUAUUAAUCUAUUUCUAAUCUAAUUACUAAUUCUAUUUCUAAUCAAAUUAUAUUAAAACAAGUAUUAUUAUUAACUUAAAUUACUAAUUCUUUUACUAAUCAAAUUACUAAACUAAUAUUAUUAAUUCUAUUCUAAUUCAGAUUUAAUAAUAAUAAUAAAUAAAUACGGAUAUUACAUAUAUACCCCCUUAAAAAGGAUUCCGUCCCCGGAAUCUAACGAAACUAAAACUCGUACCUGAAUUAAAUAAAUGCGGAUAUCUCUCACGAAUAGAAUCCUCUAAUUCCCAAGUAGCCUCUCGCUCCGAAUGAUUCUUCCACAAAACUUUGACAAACAAAAUAUUUUUCUUCCUCAUUACUCGCUCUUCUCGAUCUAAAAUAGCUUCCGCUUCUUCUUCACAAGAAAGAUCCUCCCUAAUCUUAUGUAACGGAUACUGAACUACGUGAAACGGAUGAUACUUGUAGCCCUUCAGAACAGACACAUGAAACACAUUAUGUACAUGAGAUAACUGUGGUGGCAAAGCAACUCUAUAUGCCACCUCACCCACUCUCUCUAUAACAUCAAAAGGACCCACAUAUCUCGGACUAAGCUUCCCCUUCAUACCAAAACGCUUAACACCCUUCUAAGGAGACACCUUCAAGAACACAUGAUCACCGGGUUCAAAUCCACCAAACUUUCUCUUUUGAUCUGCAUAAAUCUUUUGACGUGAUUGAGCCUUCUGUAAAUUCUCUCUAGCCUGCGCCACCUUCUCAUUAGUUACUCUAACCAACUCUGGCCCUUCAAUAUCUCUCUCUCCAACCUCAUCCCAACAAGUCGGCGCCCUACACUUCCUACCAUACAAAGCCUCAAAUGGUGGCAUGCCAAUACUUGCGUGCCAGCUGUUAUUAUAUGCGAACUCAACAAGAUACAAAUACUUAUCCCAGUCGCCUGUCCACUCUAAGGCACAAGCUCUCAACAUGUCCUCCAAUGUCUGAAUCGUCCUCUCUGACUGUCCAUCUGUCUGCGGAUGAAAGGCCGUACUAAAGUUAAGUUUUGUUCCCCAAGCUCGCUGAAAUCCCUUCCAAAAGUGUGAUGUGAACCUCGUAUCUCUGUCAGAAACUAUAGACACAGGCAUACCAUGAAGUCUAACAAUAUCCCUCUGAAAAAUCUCCGCCAACUCAUGAACAGGAGUAGUCUCUCGAAUAGGCAAGAAAUGAGCAGAUUUAGUAAGUCUAUCAACUACCACCCAUAUGACAUCAUUCUUUCUAAAAGUCCUUGGUAAACCAGUCACAAAAUCCAUGGUUAUGUUUUCCCACUUCCAAAUCGGAAUAUCUAGCUGCUGUAACAAUCCACUAGGUCUCUGAUGUUCAAUCUUCACCUGCUGACAUGUAAGACACUUACCCACAAACUCCGCUAUAUCUCGCUUCAUUCCAUUCCACCAAAAAUGCAUCUUCAAGUCCCUAUACAUCUUAGUAGAACCCGGAUGAAUAGAAAAUGAAGAACUAUGAGCCUCUGUCAAUAUUGCCUCACGAAUUGUCGAAUCUGAAGGAACACAAAGUUUACUACCCAACCAUAUCACACCCUCAUCAUCAACACGAAAAUCGGUUUGCUUCCCAUUCGCCAGCUCCAAUUUAAUAGCAUCCACUCCGAAUCAUUCUUUUGAGCAUCCUUAAUCUUCGAAAUAAGAUUAGGUUCCACCUUUAAGCUUGCUACACUGCCAUCUGACCCUCUAACAUACAACUCCACAUCUAAGCGCUCUAAAUCUGAAAUAAGGUGCGGCUGAGUAACAAGAGAUGCCACACUCCCGAAGUUCUUCCUACUAAGAGCAUACGCCACCACAUUAGCUUUCCCCGGAUGGUACUGAAUCUUAGCAUCAUAAUCCUUAAGAAGUUCAAGCCACCUCCUCUGCCUCAUGUUCAACUCCUUCUGCGUAAAAAUGUACUUAAGACUCUUGUGAUCAGUGAAGAUAUCACAAGUCUCUCCAUAUAGAUAAUGUCUCCAAAUCUUCAAUGCAAAUACCACUGCUGCUAACUCCAAGUCAUGGGUCGGAUAAUUCACCUCAUAGGGCUUAAGCUGUCUAGAGGCGUAAGAAAUCACCUUCCCAUGCUGCAUAAGAACACACCCCAAACCUCUCUUAGAAGCAUCACUGUAAACCUGAUACUCCCCCACUGCCUGNNNNNNNNNNNNNNNNNNNNNNNNNNNNNAAUCCCCUUACCAGACACAAUAUGCCCCAGAAAUGCAACCUGCUCCAACCAAAACUCACACUUUGAAAAUUUGGCAAACAAUUUCUUCUCCCUCAAAAUACCCAACACAACGCGCAAAUGCUCCUCAUGCUCCUCCUUACUCCUAGAGUAUAUCAAGAUAUCAUCAAUGAAGACCACAACAAACUUAUCAAGGUAAUCAUGGAAGAUCCGGUUCAUCAAGUCCAUAAACACGGCUGGUGCAUUCGUCAACCCAAAAGACAUCACAAGAAACUCAUAGUGACCAUAUCGAGUGCGAAAAGCUGUCUUAGGAAUAUCCUCAUCUCUUACUCGUAACUGGUGGUAACCCGAUCUCAAAUCAAUCUUUGAAAAAUACUUCGCCCCUUGCAACUGAUCGAACAAAUCAUCAAUACGUGGCAACGGAUACCUGUUCCUAACAGUCACCUUAUUCAACUCUCUGUAAUCAAUACAUAAUCUCAUUGACCCAUCCUUCUUCUUCACAAACAACACUGGAGCACCCCAUGGAGACACACUAGGCCUGAUAAAUCCCCUAUCCAACAAUUCUUGCAACUGCUCUUUCAACUCGUGCAACUCUAGUGGUGCCAUCCUGUACGGCGUCUUAGAAAUAGCCUCUGCACCUGGAACAAGUUCAAUACUAAACUCCACUUCUCGAUGCGGUGGCAAACCUGGUAACUCAUCGGGAAACACAUCUGCGUAUUCACUCACAACUGCAUAAUCCUCUAUACGAGACUCAACCUUGGAUGUAUCCUUUACAAAAGCAAGAUAACCAUCACAACCCUUAGACAAGAGCUUCUUCGCCUUAAGAGCUGAAAUCAACUUAACCUCCCCUUUUGGCUGAGACCCCUGGUAUACAUACUCUGGCUUAUUCACAUCCCCAAAGAUAACCCGUUUCUCCUCACAAUUAAUCGUCGCCCUAUACUCACUCAACCAAUCCAUACCCAAAAUAAUGUCAAAGUCAUGCAUCAUCAUCGGAAGCAAGUUGACCUUAUAAUUUCUAUCCCCCACAACUAUCAAACACUCUCGGUACGCAUCAGAAAUACUAACAGAAGUCCCCAUAGGGGUAGCAAUAGACAUAUGCGGAGAUAAUAAUGAAGGAAAGACACCUAGAUAACGAACAUAUGAUAGGGAUACCACAGAAUGAGUCGAACCAGUAUCAAAUAACACAUAAGCAUCACGUGUACCCACAAAGACCGUUCCAGAAACAGUACCUGGAUUAGUUGCUGCCUGAGAAGAAGUCAAUGCGAAGACUCUGCCUGUAGGAUUCUGCUGAUUCUGCUGAUUCGGCUGACCUCCACUGCCACUACCUCCAUCACCAUUAUUACGUGGACAGUCCUUUAACCUAUGAUCCAUCGAACCACACGAGAAACAUGCCCCAGUCUGUUUAUAACAAGCUCUGCCCGGAUGGUGUCUACCACAUGUAGCACAAGGAGCCACCGGAAUCAUAUUGGGGUUACCCCCAUACGCUGGAUAACGUCCCUGUCCCCUUUGACGAUUCUGCCACUGUCUAGGCUGCUGCUGAAACUGCUGAGUCUGCCCCUGCUGAGCCUGCCCCUGACCACUAUACUGAUUCUGCCUCUGACCAUGAGCUGUAUGACCUCCCCUAUUCUGGUUCUGUCCACGCCACUGUCCAUACCGACUGUUCUGACCACCAUACCCCUGUCUACCCUGUGCUGUGACUAGCUGAUCAUCUCUACCCCUCUUACGACCACUGUCAGAUCUGUUAGUCCGGAAGUCUAUACGCUCCUUCUCAACAUCCUUGGCUGCAUCAGCCACCUCUGCUACAUUCUGAAAUCUGGAAGAAAUGAUAGACAUCCUAAGAGACGACUUCAGCCCCCAUUUAAAUUUUUCUGCCUGCUGUGCUGCAGUCCCUGCAGAAGUCCCAGCAAAUCCCGCCAACCUGAUAAAUCUCGCAAGAUACUCAGUGAUACUCUCAUCAUGCUUCUGCUCAAUAGAAUUAAACUCUCUCAUAUAACCAUCCUUCUCUGCCUUUGAGAAGUACUGCUCAUAAAACAAAUCUGUGAACCCCUGCCAAGUCAAUGCCUCAACAAAUGCAUCACCCCUGAUAGUCUUCACUCCUCUCCACCACCUCUGAGCAUCCCCCUCUAACUUAUACACAGCCAAUCUCACCUUUGUAGCGUCAUCACAUCCCAAUGCAUCAAAAAUCUUCUCAAGAUGAACAAUCCAAUUUUCAGCAUCAAUAGGCUGUGGUGCUGAAUGAAAAGAAUCCGGUUUCUGCUUAACAAACCUAUCGAACCAAGCUAGUGCAUCAGGCUGAUUUUGUUGCUCCUCAUUAUUUCCUGGGUUUCCCUGAUUUUGCCCAGCUUGUUGCAAAGCCUGAGUCACUGCUUGAGCUAUCAACUGAGCUAACUCAGCUGCACCAAUGUUAACGUUAUCGCGCCUAGGAUUCUCACGUCUAGGAGGCAUCUACAAGAUAAGAAACGAAACGAAUAAGAAAACGAGGUUGGAUAAGAAAAUAGUACAAGCAGAUAUCAAAUGAAUUGCGCAGAUGAAGUGAGCAGUUGAAAUGAAUUUAAACAGAAUACCCAUCCUAACGUCUACCCAUUCUCACAGGUCAACCUAAAUAGGUUUUCUACAGGAAAGAACCUCGCUCUGAUACCAACUUUGUAACACCCCCAUCUUAAAUUAAGACGAGAGGUUACCUACAAAUCCAAAACCUGCAAACAGAGCACUAAUAUAUAUUCCAAACGAUGAUAAACAAUUCUAAUAAGUACUCGAAUGAUAUAAAUCCUCGGAAAUAAUUUAAUCUAAAUAAUGCGAAUAAAUAGAAUCUCUAAACAAUAAAAUCCGAAUAAAUGCUAGAAGUCCAUAAAUCCUAAUCAAUGAAAAGAAAGGCUGCUCUCCAUCACACAGUCCCGAAUCCCCCUAAGUACCUGCCAGAAGAAGAAUACGGCAUGAGCCAAAUGCCCAGUACGGAUUGGAAACAUUUACAAAACAAGAAACAUUUAAAAUAUUUUGACAGUAAUAUAAAUCAGUUAUUUUAAAAUAACAGGCUGAAGCAACAAGGGGUUAGGAUAUUUCAUACCGAGAUCAAAUCAGAACAUAUACAGAUACACACAUCAUAGGGUACCUAAUGUGUGCAACAAAUCGGAUAACGUGUACGGCAUAUACAACGUCACCGUCAAAUCACAAAUCAUAUCAAAACUGAACUGGGUGCACCCACGUAUCCUGAACAUAUAAUCAAAAUGGCCAAAGCUCCUCCCAAGAGCUAACAGAAGGAUACGCCGUGACCAAUCACACUGUCACGGAAGUGUCAUGUCAAUGGUGCCGCAAAGACAUGGCUGUAGUACCCCUACAGCUGGGAAACUCGGUAUACCCUAUAUCUCUCUAAGGGUUCAAACAAAACAAUUUUCACAACUUUAAAUCACAUGGUACAUAUAUUUCAAAUAAACUAAACAAAUCAUAUUUUGUAAAAUCUUUGAAAACCGCAUAACAAUUAUUUCAAUCUUUCAAAACAGAUUUUUAAAAUAUUUUUCGGAAAUCAAAACAGUCAAAUGAAUAACGCAAAACAGCCUUAGCAAAUCGGACGGAUUAAAAUAGGACAGAUCAAAAUUAUUUAAUAUCAAAAAGAGUAGUGCUGAAUAAAAUGAAUAGAAUCCGUACCUCGAAAAUAGCUAAUCGAACACUCACGAGAUUCCGCAAAUAAUUCGCUAAACUCCCGACUCCGAACCUAAAUAUAAAAUUAUAAUCUAUUAUUAACGAUUUCUAAUAAUCGACUGAGAUAUUUACAGACUCGAUAAUAUACCAACAUAAUCUCAAAUCCAGUGAUUAAUAGCGUACACAUUAAAUCAAUACUCUAGUCAGAACAGGCUGAUAUUUGUUGCGGAAGCAUAUCGUAACUCAUUUCCUUUCAUAAUUACUAAGGAGUAAAAACUAUACUCUUGUGAGCCAAUAUCCCCUGUACCCAAUUCACCGUGCAUGAUUGGUAGCCAAUUAAUAAACUAAUACAGCAUGAGUGCAUGACGACAUAACAAGGCAAAACAUUAUUCAAUAUCAAAUGGCAUGAUACCUUUCUGCCUAUAAUUUCCGAGACAAAGCUCUCCCCUGGUACGUAUUCUCCGUUCUCUCCUUCUCCUUCACUCUGUUUUUCACCCUUUUUCCUUUACUCUGCGGCUACUUCUAGGGUUAUUAAUAACUGAUAUGUUUUUAUAUAUAGGCCUCCAAGUAUCCUAUAACUAAUAUAACUCUAAUUAUUAAUAUUAAUCUAUUUCUAAUCUAAUUACUAAUUCUAUUUCUAAUCAAAUUAUAUUAAAACAAGUAUUAUUAUUAACUUAAAUUACUAAUUCUUUUACUAAUCAAAUUACUAAACUAAUAUUAUUAAUUCUAUUCUAAUUCAGAUUUAAUAAUAA